GCAAACAUAGUUUAACAAAGACAUUAGACUGUGAAUCUAAAAAUAAGAGCUCAACCCUCUUUGUAGGC
rnacentral:tRNA from 1 species